UCAUUCGGAUUCCCCAUCAUACGUCCAACCGUGCAUUUGAUAUGCAUAUAUAUGCAUCACGAGCAACGGUUGGGCUGUAUGAUGGCGAUACCGAUUGG
rnacentral:pre_miRNA from 1 species